AGUCUUAUAUUCAAUUAUGAUAUGAAAUUGCAAAUUUUAAGGUGUAAAUAAAUAUACUAAGGCUU
rnacentral:tRNA from 1 species